rnacentral:ncRNA from 1 species
CCGGAGGGACGACCCGCCGGCACGAGGCUCCCUGGGGACGACCCC